rnacentral:rRNA from 1 species
GGCGAGUGAGGCGGCAACAGCUCAAAUUUGAAAGCUGGCCUUCGGGUCCGCAUUGUAAUUUGUAGAGGAUGCUUUGGGGCAGCCGCCUGUCUAAGUUCCUUGGAACAGGACGUCAUAGAGGGUGAGAAUCCCGUAUGUGACAGGACAUGGCACCCUAUGUAAAGCUCCUUCGACGAGUCGAGUUGUUUGGGAAUGCAGCUCUAAAUGGGAGGUAAAUUUCUUCUAAAGCUAAAUACCGGCGAGAGACCGAUAGCGCACAAGUAGAGUGAUCGAAAGAUGAAAAGCACUUUGGAAAGAGAGUUAAAAAGCACGUGAAAUUGUUGAAAGGGAAGCGCUUGCAAUCAGACUUGUUUUGACUGUUCGGCCGGUCUUCUGACCGGUUUACUCAGUCUGGACAGGCCAGCAUCAGUUUUGGCGGCCGGAUAAAGGCUCAGGGAAUGUGGCUCUCACUUCGGUGGGAGUGUUAUAGCCCUGGGUGUAAUACGGCCAGCCGGGACUGAGGUCCGCGCUUCGGCUAGGAUGCUGGCGUAAUGGUUGUAAGCGA